rnacentral:siRNA from 1 species
AACCCGUCCCGCCAAUCCGUCCC